rnacentral:rRNA from 1 species
UACGGAGGGUGCGAGCGUUGUUCGGAAUCACUGGGCGUAAAGCGCGUGUAGGCGGCCUUGUAAGUCUGGUGUGAAAGCCCGGGGCUUACCCCCGGAAGUGCACUGGAGACUGCAAGGCUUGAGUACCGGAGAGGAAAGUGGAAUUCCUGGUGUAGCGGUGAAAUGCGUAGAUAUCAGGAGGAACACCGGUGGCGAAGGCGGCUUUCUGGACGGAUACUGACGCUGAGACGCGAAAGCGUGGGGAGCAAACAGG